AGGCCGUGAUGGGGACACUUGCGUAAUAGCUCCUUGAACCUUUCCCAAGUUUCAUAUAAGGAUUCCCCGUCCUCUUGUGAGUAUGUAUCAAUUUCAGUCAUUAAUUU
rfam:Helianthus annuus linkage group 11, whole genome shotgun sequence.